ACAACAGGUGGAGCCUGCGGUUUAAUCGGACUCAACGCCGGGAAACUCACCAGAUAAGACAGCUGAAUGAUAGUCGGGCUGAAGACUCUACUUGACUAGCUGAGAGGAGGUGCAUGGCCGUCGUCAGUUCGUACUGUGAAGCAUCCUGUUAAGUCAGGCAACGAGCGAGACCCACGCCAACAGUUGCCAGCUCGUCCUCCGGGAUGGUGGGGACACUGUUGGGACCGCCUCUGCUAAAGAGGAGGAAGGAAUGGGCAACGGUAGGUCAGCAUGCCCCGAAUUAUCUGGGCUACACGCGGGCUACAAUGGGUGGGACAAUGGGUAUCGACACCGAAAGGUGAAGGCAAUCUCCUAAACCCAUCCGUAGUUCGGAUUGUGGGCUGCAACUCGCCCACAUGAAGCUGGAAUCUGUAGUAAUCGUGUCUCAAAAUGGCACGGUGAAUAUGUCCCCGCUCCUU
rnacentral:rRNA from 1 species